UGGGGAAUAUUGCACAAUGGAGGGAACUCUGAUGCAGCGACGCCGCGUGAGUGAUGAAGGAAUUCGUUUCGUAAAACUCUGUUCUAUGGGAAGAAAAGGACUGUACCAUAGGAGAAAGCUCCGGCUAAAUACGUGCCAGCAGCCGCGGUAAUACGUAUGGAGCGAGCGUUGUCCGGAAUUAUUGGGCGUAAAGGGUGCGCAGGCGGCUUUACAAGUUGGAUGUGAAAUAUUGUGGCUCAACCACAAACGUGCAUCCAAAACUGCAAAGCUUGAGUUAAGGGGAGGUAAGUGGAAUUCCUGGUGUAGCGGUAGGAUGCGUAGAUAUCAGGAGGAAUACCGGUGGAGAAGGCGACUUACUGGAGUUAAACUGACGCUCAGGCAAGAAAGGGUGGGGAGCAAACAGG
rnacentral:rRNA from 1 species